AACGAACGCUGGCGGCAUGCCUAACACAUGCAAGUCGAACGAUCCCUUCGGGGAUAGUGGCGCACGGGUGCGUAACGCGUGGGAACCUGCCCUUAGGUUCGGAAUAACUCAGAGAAAUUUGAGCUAAUACCGGAUAAUGUCUUCGGACCAAAGAUUUAUCGCCUUUGGAUGGGCCCGCGUUGGAUUAGCUAGUUGGUGGUGUAAAGGCCUACCAAGGCGACGAUCCAUAGCUGGUCUGAGAGGAUGAUCAGCCACACUGGGAAUGAGACACGGCCCAGACUCCUACGGGAGGCAGCAGUGGGGAAUAUUGGACAAUGGGCGAAAGCCUGAUCCAGCAAUGCCGCGUGAGUGAUGAAGGCCUUAGGGUUGUAAAGCUCUUUUACCCGGGAUGAUAAUGACAGUACCGGGAGAAUAAGCCCCGGCUAACUCCGUG
rnacentral:rRNA from 1 species